rnacentral:rRNA from 1 species
CGCAGCCGCGGUAAUUCCAGCUCCAAUAGCGUAUAUUAAAGUUGCUGCAGUUAAAAAGCUCGUAGUUGAAUUUCGGGAUCAAUAUGUUGGUCGUGCCUUGGUACGUACUAGCUUAUUGGUUUCUCCCUUCUGACGAACCAUGAUGUCAUUAAUUUGGUGUCAUGUGGAAUCAGGACUGUUACUUUGAAAAAAUUAGAGUGUUUAAAGCAGGCUCACGCUUGAAUACAUUAGCAUGGAAUAAUGAAAUAGGACGUUUGAUUCUAUUUUGUUGGUUUCUAGGAUCGACGUAAUGAUUAAUAGGGAUAGUUGGGGGCGUUAGUAUUCAAUUGUCAGAGGUGAAAUUCUUGGAUUUAUUGAAGACUAACUACUGCGAAAGCAUUUGCCAAGGAUGUUUUCAUUAAUCAAGAACGAAAGUUAGGGGAUCGAAGACGAUCAGAUACCCUCGUAGUCUUAACCAUAAACUAUGCCGACUAGGGAUCGGAUGAUGUUAAUUUUUANGUACUCAUUC